rnacentral:rRNA from 1 species
GACGAACGCUGGCGGCGUGCUUAUCACAUGCAAGUCGAACGGAAAGGCCCUGCUUUUGUUGGUUGCUCGUGUGGCGAACGGGUGAGUAACACGUGAGUAACCUGCCCUUGACUUUGUGAUAACUUCAGGAAACUGGGGCUCUUACCGGAUAGAAUCUCCUGCUGCAUGGUGUGGGUUGGUAAGUUUCGGCGGUUGUGUCUGUUCUCGCUGCUUAUCCGCUUGUUGGUGGGGUUGUGGAUUACCAAGGCUUUGACGGGUAGCCGGCCUGAGAGGGUGAGCGGCCACAUUGGGACUGAGAUAAGGCACAGACUCCUAAGGGAGGCAGAAGUGGGGAAUAUUGAACAAUGGGCGGAAGCCUGAUGAAGCAACGCCGCGUGCGGGAUGACGGCCUUAGGGUUGUAAACCGCUUGCGCCAGUGACGAAGCGUGAGUGAAGGUAAUGGGUAAAGAAGCACAGGCUAAAUAAGUG